rnacentral:rRNA from 1 species
AUACGGAGGGUGCAAGCGUUAAUCGGAAUUACAGGGCGUAAAGCGUACGUAGGCGGUUAUUUAAGUCAGAUGUGAAAGCCCCGGGCUUAACUUGGGAACUGCAUUUGAAACUGGGUAACUAGAGUUUAGUAGGGGGGAGUGGAAUUUCAGGUGUAGCGGUGAAAUGCGUAGAGAUCUGAAGGAACACCAGUGGCGAAGGCGACUCCCUGGACUAAAACUGACGCUGAGGCACGAAAGCGUGGGUAGCAAACAGGAUUAGAAACCCUAGUAGUCC